UUCCAGCUCCAAUAGCGUAUAUUAAAGUUGUUGCGGUUAAAAAGCUCGUAGUUGAAUUUGUGUCUCGCACUGUCGGUUCACCGCCCGCGGUGCUAACUGGCAUGUUUGCGAGACGUCCUGCCGGUGGAUGGUACGUAAUGUGAAGAUCUUUACGGGUCUUCAUUUUGCUCAUCCGACUUUUGAAAUCCUGUCGCGGUGCUCUUAACUGAGUGUCGAGGCGGGCCGGCACGUUUACUUUGAACAAAUUAAAGUGCUCAAAGCAGGCUAAUUAAUGCCUGAAUAAUUAGUGCAUGGAAUAAUGGAACAGGACCUUGGUUCUAUUUUGUUGGUUUUCGGAACCCCAAGGUAAUGAUUAAUAGGGACAGAUGG
rnacentral:rRNA from 1 species